UCAUUCGUUCUUUGAGGCUUGACCGUUGUAACUUCAGUGUAUUAAAAGGAAACAGCAAUCCAAGAUGAAGCAGGUCUGUGUUCUGAUAACAAUGGUGUGUGCCAUCGCAGCUCAGGAGUUUGUGCCAGUUUUACAUGACCCAACAUACCCCGUGUGGUACGUUGGGGACGCAAUCAGAGGCACGGUGAGACAGAGGGGGCGCCGUGACGUCACGGUGGAUCGUAAAGUGGGCGACAACGGCAAGGUGUUCGGAACUCUUGGCGCUAACGAUAAUGGACUCU